rnacentral:rRNA from 1 species
CCUACGGGCGGCAGCAGUGAGGAAUAUUGGUCAAUGGGCGAGAGCCUGAACCAGCCAAGUCGCGUGAGGGAUGACGGCCCUACGGGUUGUAAACCUCUUUUGUCUGGGAGUAAAGAGCGCCAUGUAUGGUGCUGUGCGUGUACCUGAUGAAUAAGCAUCGGCUAACUCCGUGCCAGCAGCCGCGGUAAUACGGAGGAUCCGAGCGUUAUCCGGAUUUAUUGGGUUUAAAGGGUGCGGAGGCGGGCUGUUAAGUCAGCUGUGAAAUUUUGCGGCUCAACCGCAGAAUUGCGGGUGAUACUGGCUUCCUAGAGUGCACGAGAGGUAUGCGGAAUGCGUGGUGUAGCGGUGAAAUGCAUAGAUAUCACGAAGAACUCCGAUUGCGAAGGCAGCAUGCCGG